GUUGAAGGCCCCCUGAGUUACUGCGCCUCGCCGCGGUUCUUCAGCCCCGGACCCAAUCUGAGCGAGGGCGCCCCUUAGGCAGACGCAGAGCUGAGGCGGGAACCCUGGCGUUUUGUGGAGAGUGACUUUUAAUUUUCUGAGGAAAUGUGAAGUGUGCCGUUGCCAUGCGCUAACCUAUUAUUCUACCACCAAGAUGCCCUUGGCACAGUCAUCUACUCACUAGUGGACCACCCAUCAUCAACUGGGCCUCAGGCUCCUUUGAUAUGAUCCCUGCUCAUUUAGACAUCUUUACCUGCUGUUUCUGGGACUGUCCUGAGUCAUUUGCCCUACCUCAGUGUACAAUUCAACAAUUCUCUACAUUACUCAGUGCUCAUCGUGGUCAGCUUGUUUGAAAAGAGCUCCUUUCCUUUAUGCUUGUUUUUGAAAAUGGCUGGUGCUUUUUUGCUAAUGUGUGGCCCUUUCCAUAUUUCCAUAAUGGUGACCCUUGAUUGAAAAACAAU